AAUGGGGCAGGGGUCCCUGAGCCUGGAUUGCGAGAGGGCACAGGCCAGGCCGAGGGACCCCACCGGUGCACG
rnacentral:pre_miRNA from 1 species